rnacentral:misc_RNA from 1 species
CUUCUCUAUUAUUAUCAUCUCCAUCAUCUUCUCUUCUCUUUCAUCCACUAACCUCUCAUGCUCCCUCCAAACUUCACCUUAUUAAUCCAAUCUCUAAGAGGCCAUCUACUACCAGAGUUUUCGCAGCACAUGACCAGAACUACAGUGGGCGGCUGGUGGAUGUCAACAUGAUUGUUCUUAGGAAAAGAAUUCAUGAGAUGAAGAUGGUGGAGAGAAACUAUGAGCCUCCUUCCCAUU